GCUGUUGUCAAUUGAUCAGUGUAUAGAAUUAAAUAUGUUAAGCCAUAUGAAGAGUUUUAAAGAAGCCUUAAGAUUGAUAAUUCAACCUGGAGCUCUUCUUGGGAAAGUAGAAUUACCGAAAAGUAUAUAAAAGUGAAAUAUUUGCAUCCAUUUGCAGUAUGAAAACCCCUUCUGUAAUUUCUGUUCUCAUCUUCCAUAUGCCAUAUCUUCAGUCAGGCCUCCCUCCCUAGGUCUUGCCCCAUGGGAAGUGAAUCCUACAGGAAGGAUUUUCUGUGGCUUUUACUGUCUAUGGCUUUUCUUCUUCUGUCAUUUGUACUUUCUCAUUUGGACUUCAUUUCUUAAAAAAAAAAAAAAAAGCAUACGACCAAGGGAAUGUAAAGUAUGGAUAUUUAAAUCACAUAUUUGAUGUGCUUUGCACAUUUGAUGAGGAACCUGCCUCAUGCCCUUAGCUUUUAAAGGAAACAAGUUGUGGACUAAUCAUAUAAUUUGCCAGAAAAAAAAAAAUGACCCCAGACUGACCCCUUCCUAAGUUAACCUGUGCGCGCAGUGGAUGUCUUUUCUGGGGGGAUGAGAUUGGGCAAAUCUGUCUUCUUUUUUUCAUAGCCACAAGCUUUUUGUUUAUCUGUGGUAAAUGAUAUUAAAAAAAAUUUAGAGAGGGAAAUCAGCCUUGAUGUAGAGGGAAACGCUGCUGUAUGGGAUAUCCUUUUGCUGUUAUUGUAUCAAAAUUAUAUUUACCCUCCCUCACAAAACAUAACAGACCAGACAGUGGGUAGUCUCUUUGGUGUCAUAUCCCAGCAUACAUCAGAAAGAUUCCUAACAUGUCUCCCCAAAUGUAGUAUUGUACGUGGAUACUCAUUUUCAAAUUGCACAAUGUGCCUAUCUUUACGCUUACUUCAAUGUUGAGGCUCUGCUCUCUAAAUAAUCCCUUCAGGAGAUAAAGAACAUUUUAUGUUUUUUGAGGGAUUGUACUAGACUCAAUUAUAGUAUUAGUCUCUGGACUUAUAUCUUUGUAUUUUAAUUUC
rnacentral:lncRNA from 1 species